rnacentral:rRNA from 1 species
UAAAUACAAUGCAAGUCGAGCGAGCUUGCCUAUAGAAAGUCUUCGGAAUGGAAUAGAUACAAAGCUAGCGCGGAUGGGGGUGGAGUAACGCGUGGGGUAACCCUGCCCUUAAGGUCUGGGGAUACCAUUUGGAAAACAGAUGCCAAUACCGGAUAAAAGCUACUUUCGCAUGAAAGAAGUUUAAAAGGCGGCGUAAAGCUGUCGCUAAAAGGGAUGGACCUGCGAUGCAUUAGCUAGUUGGUAAGGUAACGGGCUUACCAAGGCGAUGAUGCAUAGCCCGAGUUGAGAGACUGAUCGGGCCACAUUGGGGACUGAGACACGGGCCCAAACUCCUACGGGAGGCAGCAGUAGGGAAUCUUCCACAAUGGACGAAAGUCUGAUGGAGCAAACGCCGCGUGAGUGAAGAAGGUUUUCGGAUCGUAAAGCUCUGUUGUUGGUGAAGAAGGAUAGAGGUAGUAACUGGCCCUUUAUUUGACGGUAAUCAACCAGAAAGUCACGGGCUAACUACGUGCCAGCAGCCGCGGUAAAU